GACAGAGGAUGCAAGCGUUAUCCGGAAUGAUUGGGCGUAAAGCGUCUGUAGGUGGCUUUUUAAGUCUGCCGUCAAAUCCCAGGGCUUAACCCUGGACAGGCGGUGGAAACUACCAGCUGGAGUUCGGCAGGGGAGACGUGGAAUUCCGUGGUGGUAGCGGUGAAAAUGCGCAGAUAUCAGGAGGAACACCGGUGGCGAAGGCGGGUCUCUGGGCCGAUACUGACGCUGAGGAGCGAAAGCGUGGGGAGCGAACAGG
rnacentral:rRNA from 1 species